rnacentral:rRNA from 1 species
UACGGGGGGUGCAAGCGUUAUUCGGAAUCAUUGGGCGUAAAGGGCGCGUAGGCGGUCUUUUAAGUCAGAUGUGAAAGCCCUCGGCUUAACCGAGGAAGUGCAUUUGAUACUAAGAGACUUGAGUAUGGGAGAGGGAAGCGGAAUUCCUGGUGUAGCGGUGAAAUGCGUAGAUAUCAGGAGGAACACCGGUGGCGAAGGCGACUUGCUGGACCAAUACUGACGCUGAGAUGCGAAAGCGUGGGGAGCAAACAGG